rnacentral:rRNA from 1 species
CCUACGGGUGGCAGCAGUAGGGAAUCUUGCGCAAUGGGCGAAAGCCUGACGCAGCGACGCCGCGUGAGGGAUGAAGGCCUUCGGGUUGUAAACCUCUUUCAGCAGGGACGAAGCGAAAGUGACGGUACCUGCAGAAGAAGCCCCGGCCAACUACGUGCCAGCAGCCGCGGUAAUACGUAGGGGGCGAGCGUUGUCCGGAUUUAUUGGGCGUAAAGCGCGCGUAGGCGGCCUUCCACGUCGGAUGUGAAAGCUCGAGGCUCAACCUUGAGAUGCCAUUCGAUACGGGAAGGCUGGAGGUAGGUAGGGGAGAUUGGAAUUCCUGGUGUAGCGGUGAAAUGCGCAGAUAUCAGGAGGAACACCGGUGGCGAAGGCGGAUCUCUGGGCCUUACCUGACGCUGAGGCGCGAAAGCUGGGGGAGCGAACAGGAUUAGAUACCCUGG